rnacentral:misc_RNA from 1 species
GUAUUAGGGGUUGCACUGCAGGACAUUCCUAAAGAAAUCAUCAUCUAAACAGAUUAUAUAACAGAGUAUAAUUACAUGUCAGGAGAAGCUGAAAGGGUUUGGCGACUUGCCCCAUCAUGCUGUACACAUUUUCUCUGCUAACUCUGCUGCUUUGUAAAUAAUGGGGUUCCACUGUAAAUCAAAUAAAAAUAUAUGCCUCAACAUCUUCAUCUCCGGACCCUUU